GUCGGGAGGGCGGCUAAUACAACACCCGCAAGGGGAAUACGCCCGCCGGCUGUAAGCGGUUUCGAGCCUCCCGACACCCCGUC
rfam:Rhodanobacter sp. OK091 genome assembly, contig: Ga0115501_103